GAAGACAGGCUGGUGGAGGAAGUACAUGACGAGGAUCUACAAGAUGACGGGUUUGAGUAGGAGAUCAUGGAGGACAUCACAGUUCAAGUGCUGUAUGAGGAUGACCCCUGCCGUGAUCUCAGAAACAGCCCCUCAUCUCAGCAUUACUGGCUGAGCCGUCCACAUCAGCUGGUGGAGAAGGACAGCUUCCUAGCCCAGCCCCCUCAGUGCCGUCACAGCCAUCCAAGUCUGGAGACAGUCUCUCUGUUGAGGCUCAGGGAGUAGUCAUUGGACCUGAUGGCAUUGCUGGGUGGGACAAGGUGCAGGAUCUGGCUGCUUAUUUGGUAGGUCUUCGUUAGGCUCCUUACCUCACUGACCUGCAGGUGACAGAGGCCAUCCAGCUGUGGACAGCUCUCCUGGAUGUUGAUAAACACCGCAUCAACUACCAGCCUCGACAUCAGCCUCAGCUGACACAUGGGCGCUUUAAGGCACCGAAGCGCUCCGGAGUCACUCCAGGUGUGGAGAGCGUCAAGCGCUGUCUGAUUGGACAUCCUGAGGGUCCAGCACAGUGGCCUAGCACCAGCCGCUUGGUUGAGGCCAUUUGUACAAAGCUGUGUGUCGUACACAAGUCCACUUCCAAGAAGGCUGGUGUUCGCACGCACAGGUGGUCUAAAAUACUGACCGAUUACCACCACAUCCGGGAUCUGG
ensembl:processed_transcript